rnacentral:rRNA from 1 species
GACGAACGCUGGCGGCGUGCCUAAUACAUGCAAGUCGAACGCAGUGGGGACGGGUGAGUAACACGUGGGUAACCUCCCAUCAGAGGGGAUAACACUUGGAAACAGGUGCUAAACCGAUACUGAUGGAUGGACCCGGGGUGCAUUAGGCAGUUGGUGAGGUAACGGCGCACCAAGGCCACGAUGCAUAGCCGGCCUGGGAGGGGGAGCGGCCACACUUGGACUGGGACACGGCCCAGCCUCCUACGGGAGGCAGCAGUAGGGGAUUUUCCGCAAUGGGCGGAAGCCUUGCCCAGCCAAGCCGCGUGAGUGAAGAAGGUUUUCGGGUUGUAAAACUCUUUUAGUUAGGAAGCGGUAUUUUACCAAGAAGCCACGGCUAACUACGUGCCAGCAGCCGCGGUAAUAC